rnacentral:rRNA from 1 species
AUACGGAGGAUCCGAGCGUUAUCCGGAUUUAUUGGGUUUAAAGGGUGCGCAGGCGGCCAUUUAAGUCAGCGGUUAAAUCGUGGGGCUCAACCCCAUUCUGCUGUUGAUACUGGGUGGCUUGAUUGCGGUCGAGGUUGGCGGAAUUCGUUGUGUAGCGGUGAAAUGCAUAGAUAUGACGAAGAACACCGAUUGCGUAGGCAGCUGACCAGACCGCAAAUGACGCUCAUGCACGAAAGUGCGGGGAUCGAACAGGAUUAGAUACCCUGGUAGUCCGCACAGUAAACGAUGAAUACUUGUUUUCGGCGAUAUAAUGUCGGAGGCAAAGCGAAAGCGAUAAGUAUUCCACCUGGGGAGUACGCCGGCAACGGUGAAACUCAAAGGAAUUGACGGGG